AAAAGUCGUAACAAGGUUUCCGUAGGUGAACCUGCGGAAGGAUCAUUAUCGUAUACAACGGGAGGGUGCGAGGGCUGUCGCUGACCCUCGAAAGGUCGUGCACGCCCGAGCGCUCUCUCGACACACACAUCCAUCUCACCCCCCUUUUGUGCAUCUCCGCGUAGGUCCCCUUUUCGAAAAAGGGGGCCUGCGUUUUUACAUCAAACUUUGAAGUAGUGUAGAAUGUCAUUUUUGCGAUCAUACGCAAUCAAUACAACUUUCAACAACGGAUCUCUUGGCUCUCGCAUCGAUGAAGAACGCAGCGAAAUGCGAUACGUAAUGUGAAUUGCAGAAUUCAGUGAAUCAUCGAAUCUUUGAACGCACCUUGCGCCCCUUGGAAUUCCGAGGGGCACACCCGUUUGAGUGUCGUGAAUUUCUCAAAAGCCCCCUUUUCUUUUGAAAGGGAAGGGUCUUUUGGACUUGGAGGGUCUAUGCACGCUUUCGAAGAAAAAGAAAGCGAGCUCCUCUAAAAUGGAUUAGUGAGGUUCGCUUCGUCGGUCCUUGACGUGAUACGUUUGCUUCUACGUUUUGGAUUCGACUUGCGCUCGCUUCUAACCGUCUUCAUCGACGACGAUGGUGCUCCGGUCUCUUUGCUGCUAGCGGGAGGCUGGACCCACAAAAUGAAACCUUGACCUCAAAUCGGGUGAGACUACCCGCUGAACUUAAGCAUAUCAAUAAGCGGAGGA
rnacentral:rRNA from 1 species